rnacentral:rRNA from 1 species
GCGAAAGUGAUAAGUUAGCCACCUGGGGAGUACGUUCGCAAGAAUGAAACUCAAAGGAAUUGACGGGGGCCCGCACAAGCGGUGGAUUAUGUGGUUUAAUUCGAUGAUACGCGAGGAACCUUACCAAGGCUUAAAUGGGAAUUGACAGGUUUAGAAAUAGACUUUUCUUCGGACAAUUUUCAAGGUGCUGCAUGGUUGUCGUCAGCUCGUGCCGUGAGGUGUUAGGUUAAGUCCUGCAACGAGCGCAACCCCUGUCACUAGUUGCCAUCAUUCAGUUGGGGACUCUAGUGAGACUGCCUACGCAAGUAGAGAGGAAGGUGGGGAUGACGUCAAAUCAUCACGGCCCUUACGCCUUGGGCCACACACGUAAUACAAUGGCCGGUACAGAGGGCAGCUACCUAGCGAUAGGAUGCGAAUCUCGAAAGCCGGUCUCAGUUCGGAUUGGAGUCUGCAACUCGACUCUAUGAAGCUGGAAUCGCUAGUAAUCGCGCAUCAGCCAUGGCGCGGUGAAUACGUUCCCGGGCCUUGUACACACCGCCCGUCAAGCCAUGGAAGUUUGGGGUACCUGAAGUCGGUGACCGUAACAGGAGCUGCCUAGG